rnacentral:rRNA from 1 species
CAGCCGCCGCGGUAAUACGGAGGGUGCAAGCGUUAAUCGGAAUUACUGGGCGUAAAGCGCACGCAGGCGGUUUGUUAAGUCAGAUGUGAAAUCCCCGAGCCUAACUUGGGAACUGCAUUUGAAACUGGCAAGCUAGAGUCUUGUAGAGGGGGGUAGAAUUCCAGGUGUAGCGGUGAAAUGCGUAGAGAUCUGGAGGAAUACCGGUGGCGAAGGCGGCCCCCCGGACGAAGACUGACGCUCAGGUACGAAAGCGUGGGGAGCAAACAGGAUUAGAUACCCCGGUAGUCCCUGUCUCUUAUAC